CCCCCCGGGGGGCGAAAAUGUAGGGGGGGCGAAAAUGGAUUUUCGCCCCCCCUACACUUUCGCCCCCCGGGGGGCGAAAUUCCUA